ensembl:lncRNA
AUAUAUAUACACACGAUAUGCUACUUGCUGAAAUUGUCUUUCUACUACUAUUUUAGAUUUCUUUUAAAUAUUUUUCUUCCUGGCCUACUAGUGAUCAUUCAGUAUAAUCUUGCAGCAGUGUAUUAAUGAUUUUGUAAAUAUUUCUAGGUUAUUUAAAAAAAAAAAAAAAACAUUUUAAAAAAGGGAGAGUGAUACAGAAAGAGAGCGUGAAUAGCGAGUUGAAAUUUUUAUACCAACAACUGAAUGUGUUUUUAUGACAUCUAGCUGAUCAUGAGUUCCCUAGAACAAUCUAUUUUUUCGGUUACUGUCCUUGCACGAGUUUCAAUCAGCUGAUGUUAACUUUAGAAAAACUAUCAAAUGCUUUACACACUGUUUUAGUAAAAAUUUCUAGUCCUGUAUCUCCUGUCCCUUAUACAUGUUUACUGCCUAAUUAAACUUUUAUAUACUUGUAUAUACACUGCAUAUAUACUACACUACUGUUCAAAGGCUUGGAAUCACAUGACAUGACAUUUUGAUAUCACACUCUCGGGGGAAAAAAGGGUAGUAAACUGUGCGGGUCCUUGUCAAUGGUACCAUCAAGCAUACAGUACAUCUUUUGUACAUUUAUCUGGAAAGGUACAAAAGAUGUAUGUUUUUGCGAUACCACCACAGUGACGAGGAAAAAUACAGUUUAGUUGUUUUUGUUUUCCUGAGAGUCCAUUAUUAUCAUUAUUUUAUACACUAAACUCUUUUAAAGUAUAAUAGAUAUAACAUUUACCAGACACCAAAAUGUAUUUUUAGAGGUUUUAUUUAGUAUUUAUUUGUUUAGUACUGAUUGAAGCAUUUUGAGGGAAACAAAAGUGGUAAAUUAUAUUCUGGGAAUUGUCAAUGUAUUGUAAUUAUUAGCAAGCGUAUAGUUUAAGUAUUUCCACAUAAAGGUUUGAUCUCCCCUUUCCUAACAAUUUUUUAAAAAUAAUUUUAUAUUAAUGUUUAUACUAAUGUUUUGAAACUAUACAACUUUUUUUCUGAAACUUUGGAACCAUUGAAAUGAUUAAUAGUUAUUCCAGACAAAUAAUGUUUUACAGCUUUCUACAAAAGACUUAACUGCAUAGCAUGUGGGUCUUAUUACAGUCAUUUUAUAGAUCUGAACUAAAAGUGAUUUGUUUAUAUUACCGAUCACUUCAUUCAGAAUCUUUUUGAGUGAUGAUUUCAGACUUUUGAACGGUAGUGUGUAUAUGUGAGUACGCAAAAAAACACCGUUACAUAUUUGUGUAAUUGGAGUUUUUCUGUUAUAAGGUUUACGUCAAAGAUUUACGUACUUGUAGAAAAGAUAGUGCGGUAGACGUCAGCAUCGAUGCUUAAGAAACAAACCCCAUAUGUUUCCAAACGUGUAUGGAGCAGGCUAUAUUGUUUGUGAGAGUUGAUUGGUUGUAAAGUGUGUGCUGAUUGGCUGAUGUGGUCCUGCGGUUGCCUUGGCUUUUACAGCCUGCAUGUUGGUUAUGCUAAAAGUAUGCACAUGGAAACCUUACUAAAACAGACAAACAUAUACACUACUAUAUAUAUAAAAUAUAUAUG